rnacentral:misc_RNA from 1 species
ACGAGUUAGGGUCUUCUAGGCCCGACCUCCCAACCCCAUGUUUAUUGAACCUCUGUUGCUUCGGCGGACCCGUCUCACGACCGCCGGAGGAUUGCCGCGAGGUGUCCUCUGGCCCGCGUCCGUCGAUAGCCCAACCAAUUAAAACUCUGUAUGAAUCGUGUCAUUAUGUCUAAGUCCAUUUAUUAAAUUAAAGCA